UCCAGUUUACCAAAUAGCAAGAAAUAAAGACAUUUUAUUUAAAAAAGAAACCAGGAACGCCAAGAAGUCAAUCAGGCCUAUAUUACUUGGAUUUGGGUGUGAAUCUCAGAUAUGGGUAUGCAUUCCACAUGGGUGUGGUUAGUUUUUCAAAGUGUUUUCAUGUAUUUGAAGGAUCCUCAGAGGUCAUAUCCCCAUAUCCGUGUGUCAGAAACGAAUGUCAGACACAGGUACUUCAUGAAAAAUGAAGAGUCCGAGCAAUAUAGAAUCAGGCAAUACUAAAAUGUUGUUGUAUCUUUUUAGUUGUUCAUCAU
rnacentral:lncRNA from 1 species